rnacentral:lncRNA from 1 species
GUUGAUUUUUCAAGACCUUCACCUCUUCUGAAAGAGCUGUCUCAUUUCGUGACACCUCUCUGAAGGACAUUCUGCUGCUUGUGUGCUCUUUUGAGCCAGGAGUUUUCCAGAAGAUGCCUUUGAUGGAUGCUUUGAUGGAUGGCAAUUCUGUGGUUCUUGGAUCAGAGAGUGAGAGCCCAGCUUCAGCACAGCUCAAAGCAGCCAGGCCCUGCACUGAGCUGGGUGUGAAGAUCCCCCAGGAUGGAGCCGGAGAUGGAGUGGGAUGGAACUGGGGAUGGAGCCGGCGAUGGAGCCAAGGAUGGAGCCAGGAAUGGAGUCGGGAUGGAGCUGAGGAUGGAGUCGGGAUGGAGCUGGUAUGGAGCUGGGGAUGGAGCUGGAGAUGGAGCUGGGGAUGGAGCUGAUAUGGAGCCGGGGAUGGAGCAGGGAUGGAGCUGGAGCUGGAGCUGAUACGGAGCCGGGGAUGGAGCCAGGAAUGGAGUCGGGAUGGAGCUGAGGAUGGAGUCGGGAUGGAGCUGAUAUGGAGCCGGGGAUGGAGCAGGGAUGGAGUCGGGGUGGAGCUGGGGAUGGAGCCGGCGAUGGAGCUGGGAAUGGAGUCGGGAUGGAGCUGGGGAUGGAGCCGGGGAUAGAGCAGAGAUGGAGCUAUGUGUGAUGCAUGUAAGAAGGUCUUACUUUUGCUGAUCUUUGGGAUUAAAUCAUUGAAUUUCUCAUUUAUGAUGUAAUGUUUGUUUUAUCUUCCGUUGCCUUGUAAGUGAUUUUUGCAGUAGUUUUCUGAUGUCUUUAAAAAUUCCCAACUCGAGCCUCCUUUGCUGCAUGUUUCAAUUCAGUGUUGCAGGACAGUGGACUGAAAAUGGAACCGUUGAUCCUUCCUCAAUGGUAAUUUUGUUGGAUAUUAAUCAGUAACUUGUUUUGGAUUGACAAACAAUUAUUGAUCCCUGGAUUUAAUAGAAUAGAAAAUGUGAAGCAAAUGCAGCAGAAAGAACACAGAGAGCAAUCUGUUCUCUGAGCAAGCAGGGCCAUAGCUCUGAUACUGCCACCCAGAGUGACAGGGUGGGGGUCAGUGCCACCCACAAUGACAGGGAUGGUGUCAGUGCCGCCCGCAGUGACAGGGGUGCUGUCAGUGCCACCCAGAGUGACAGGGGUGGUAUCAGUGCUGCCCACAAUGACAGGGGUGGUGUCAGUGCCGCCCGCAGUGACAGGGGUGUUUUGCUGAUCUUUGGGAUUAAAUCAUUGAAUUUCUCAUUUAUGAUGUAAUGUUUGUUUUAUCUUCCGUUGCCUUGUAAGUGAUUUUUGCAGUAGUUUUCUGAUGUCUUUAAAAAUUCCCAACUCGAGCCUCCUUUGCUGCAUGUUUCAAUUCAGUGUUGCAGGACAGUGGACUGAAAAUGGAACCGUUGAUCCUUCCUCAAUGGUAAUUUUGUUGGAUAUUAAUCAGUAACUUGUUUUGGAUUGACAAACAAUUAUUGAUCCCUGGAUUUAAUAGAAUAGAAAAUGUGAAGCAAAUGCAGCAGAAAGAACACAGAGAGCAAUCUGUUCUCUGAGCAAGCAGGGCCAUAGCUCUGAUACUGCCACCCAGAGUGACAGGGUGGGGAUCAGUGCCACCCACAAUGACAGGGGUGGUGUCAGUGCCGCCCGCAGUGACAGGGGUGCUGUCAGUGCCACCCAGAGUGACAGGGGUGGUAUCAGUGCUGCCCACAAUGACAGGGGUGGUGUCAGUGCCGCCCGCAGUGACAGGGGUGGUGUCAGUGCCCCCCAGAGUGACAGGGUGGUGUCAGUGCCACCCAGGGGGGGGGGGGGGGGGGGGGGGGGGGGGGGGGGGGGGGGGGGGGGGGGGGGGGGGGGGGGGGGGGGGGGGGG